UACGUAGGGUGCAAGCGUUGUCCGGAAUUAUUGGGCGUAAAGAGCUCGUAGGCGGCCUGUUGCGUCCGCUGUGAAAUCCCGGGGCUCAACCCCGGGCCUGCAGCCGAUACGGGCAAACUAGAAUUCGGUAGGGGAGACUGGAAUUCCUGGUGUAGCGGUGAAAUGCGCAGAUAUCAGGAGGAACACCAGUGGCGAAGGCGGCUCACUGGCCCGAUACUGACGCUGAGGCACGAAAGCGUGGGGAGCAAACAGG
rnacentral:rRNA from 1 species